rnacentral:RNase_P_RNA from 1 species
UUCGGGCAAUCGCGGUCAUUCAGUUGGCUGAGGAAAGUCCACGCUCGCACGAACUGUGAUGUUCGUAGUGUUUGUACUUAGCCUAAUAAGCUAAGGUACCAGAAAUGGUAACGGCGGAAAACGCGCUAAGGUCUUUUGGCUAUGCGUUACUAUCCUUAAAUAGUGCCACAGUGACGGAGCACCAUUGGAAACUUUGGUGGUGGAACGAGGUAAACCCUGCAAGCGGGCAACCCAAACAUUUGGUAGGGGCGCUUCGAUCUAAGGAACCGAACUAAAGAUCGAGACAAUUUAUUGUAGAUAGAUGAUUGCUGAAAGUAAAACUCCCAAUUUUACUGGAACAAAACGUGGCUUAUAG